UGCUCCAUUUUACUAAAGCUUGGCAAAUGUAUUCUUAGACUGAAGUCCGAAUAUGGAACACCCAUUAAUCCCAAGCAACCACAAUGCAAAACUUUGAGAUCCAAGUUUAUUGGAUUUCUUAAAAAGUUUCGGUUUCGAAGGAGCAAGAACCGAGCCAUUGGCUUUAAGCACAAAUCAGAUCUCCCACACCCAGAAGCUAGAUUUCGAAAAUAUCAUCUGGGAUGGCUUGCUUAUAAGGAACUAAUCUGUAUGGGCUCUUUGGUGGUUGGGAUUUUUGCAUUUCUGUCUCAAACAAUAUGCAACAAAGAUUGGUGGGGAAUUACUAUUCAUGGUUGUGUUAUCAUGUUAUACUUUGUUUUGUUAUUCAAGAAAUAUAUGACAGGAAAAAUCAGUAAUUUCUGCAUACUUCUAAUGGGUACAUCAGUGGUUUGUUCACUAGCGUUUGAUUUAGACAAAUAUUUGAAAAUUGGUUAUAUUCAGAUGCCAUGGAACUAUGUUGUUUCCUCCAGCUUGCCAGGUAUGUUUCAAGGUUUUAUCAAACUGUGGGGGUCCAGGUGAGGCUUUUUAUU